rnacentral:rRNA from 1 species
UACGGAGGGUGCAAGCGUUAAUCGGAAUUACUGGGCGUAAAGCGUACGUAGGCGGCUUGUUAAGCAAGAUGUGAAAUCCCCGGGCUCAACCUGGGAAUGGCAUUUUGAACUGGCAGGCUCGAGUUCUGAAGAGGGUGGUAGAAUUUCCAGUGUAGCGGUGAAAUGCGUAGAUAUUGGAAGGAAUACCGGUGGCGAAGGCGGCCACCUGGUCAGAAACUGACGCUGAGGUGCGAGAGCGUGGGGAGCAAACAGG